rnacentral:tRNA from 1 species
GCACCCGUAGCUCAGCUGGAUAGAGCAUCGGCCUUCUAAGCCGAGGGUCAUAGGUUCGAGUCCUAUCGGGUGUGCCA